UCGCUCACACCUUCUCACCGGUGCAUCAAUGCUCCUCCUCUGAAUGUGCCCGAACCAUCUGAAUCUUGCUUCCCGCAUCUUGUCCUCUAUGGGGGCCACAUCCAACUUCUCUCGGAUAUCUUCAUUCCUAAUCUUAUCCAUCCUUGUAUGCUCGCACAUCCACCUCAACAUCCUCAUCUCUGCUACUUUCAUCUUCUGGGUGUGUGAGUUCUUAA
rnacentral:lncRNA from 1 species